GAGUUUGAUCCUGGCUCAGAAUCAACGCUGGCGGCGUGCCUCAGACAUGCAAGUCGAACGCGAAAGUCCCUUCGGGGAGCGAGUAGAGUGGCGUCCGGGUGAGUAACACGUAGGUAAUCUACCUUUGGGUGGGGAAUAACAACCGGAAACGGUUGCUAAUACCGCAUAAUGCAGCGGCACCACAUGGUGACAGUUGUUAAAGCGGGGGAUCGCAAGACCUCGCGCCAAAAGAGGAGCCUGCGGCGGAUUAGCUAGUUGGUAGGGUAAUGGCCUACCAAGGCAACGAUCCGUAGCCGGCCUGAGAGGGCGGUCGGCCACACUGACACUGAAAUACGGGUCAGACUCCUACGGGAGGCAGCAGUAGGGAAUAUUGGUCAAUGGAUGCAAGUCUGAACCAGCCAUGCCGCGUGCAGGAAGAAGGCCUUCUGGGUUGUAAACUGCUUUUGUCAGGGGAUAAAAUUUCCUUGCGAGGAACAUUGAAGGUACCUGGCGAAUAAGCCACGGCUAACUACGUGCCAGCAGCCGCGGUAAUACGUAGGUGGCAAGCGUUGUCCGGAUUUAUUGGGUUUAAAGGGUGCGUAGGCGGUUCUGUAAGUCAGUGGUGAAAUACUCCAGCUUAACUGGAGGGGUGCCAAUGAUACUGCAGAACUUGAGUACAGAUGAGGUAGGCGGAAUUGACGGUGUAGCGGUGAAAUGCAUAGAUAUCGUCAAGAACACCUAUAGCGAAGGCAGCUUACUGGGCUGUAACUGACGCUGAGGCACGAAAGUGUGGGGAUCAAACAGGAUUAGAUACCCUGGUAGUCCACACUGUAAACGUUGAUUACUCGCUGUUUGCGAUACACAGCAAGCGGCUUAGCGAAACCGAUAAGUAAUCCACCUGGGGAGUACGCCGGCAACGGUGAAACUCAAAGGAAUUGACGGGGGUCCGCACAAGCGGUGGGGCAUGUGGUUUAAUUCGAUGAUACGCGAGGAACCUUACCUGGACUAGAAUGCCCUUGACCGAUCCAGAGAUGGGUAAUUCAGCAAUGACAAGGAGCAAGGUGCUGCAUGGCUGUCGUCAGCUCGUGCCGUGAGGUGUUGGGUUAAGUCCCGCAACGAGCGCAACCCCUAUUUUUAGUUGCCAGCACGUAAUGGUGGGGACUCUAAAAAGACUGCCUGCGCAAGCAGAGAGGAAGGAGGGGACGACGUCAAGUCAUCAUGGCCCUUACGUCCAGGGCUACACACGUGCUACAAUGGCAUAUACAAAGUGUUGCAAACCAGUGAUGGUAAGCCAAUCACAGAAAGUAUGUCUCAGUUCGGAUUGCAGGCUGCAGCUCGCCUGCAUGAAGUUGGAAUCGCUAGUAAUCGCAAAUCAGCAAUGUUGCGGUGAAUACGUUCCCGGACCUUGCACACAC
rnacentral:rRNA from 1 species